UACGUAGGGUGCGAGCGUUGUCCGGAAUUAUUGGGCGUAAAGGGCUCGUAGGCGGUUUGUCGCGUCGGGAGUGAAAACCUUGGGCUUAACUCAGGGCUUGCUUUCGAUACGGGCAGACUAGAGGUAUGCAGGGGAGAACGGAAUUCCUGGUGUAGCGGUGAAAUGCGUAGAGAUGUGGAGGAACACCAGUGGCGAAGGCGACUACCUGGCCUGUUCUUGACGCUGAGGCGCGAAAGCUAGGGGAGCAAACGGG
rnacentral:rRNA from 1 species